rnacentral:lncRNA from 10 species
CCUGGGGAAGGGAGUUGUUGAGUUUUCCUUCCAAAUACUUUCCAGGAUUCCCCAGAAGGUUACACAGGUCCAUGAAUCAUUCACUGGCACUUGGUAAGGUAAUGAAGAAACAAAGACUCUCGCUUGGAAGCCAGAUCCCACAACAGUCAGCUUCUGUACUGGACUUGAUUGCUUUGACCACCUGUUGUUGCUGAUGAAGCACCACUGUCCCUGCUGCUGGUGUCACCUGUCCACUAAGGCAGAAAAGGGAGGUAUUUGAUGUAAUAAUCUCAUGGCAAAAUUUCCUGGCCUAAAAUGCCACAAUUCUAAAUUCAGGCACAUGACGCUGUAUGAUAUAUGUUAGAUCCACACAUUUCUGUCCUAGGGUGGUGUUGCAUUCAAUAAACCCAAAUGAAGCCUAACAUAUAGUUUAAAAUAAAGAAUAUUCAAAGCAUCCAAAUAAAUAAUCCACAUCAUCAUUUACAAAAAUACUCAUUCUGCUUCCACACAUUUUCCUUACUCUCUGUGGCU